UUGAACGCUGGCGGCAGGCCUAACACAUGCAAGUCGAGCGGUAGCACAGAGAGCUUGCUCUCGGGUGACGAGCGGCGGACGGGUGAGUAAUGUCUGGGAAACUGCCUGAUGGAGGGGGAUAACUACUGGAAACGGUAGCUAAUACCGCAUAAUGUCGCAAGACCAAAGUGGGGGACCUUCGGGCCUCAUGCCAUCAGAUGUGCCCAGAUGGGAUUAGCUAGUAGGUGGGGUAACGGCUCACCUAGGCGACGAUCCCUAGCUGGUCUGAGAGGAUGACCAGCCACACUGGAACUGAGACACGGUCCAGACUCCUACGGGAGGCAGCAGUGGGGAAUAUUGCACAAUGGGCGCAAGCCUGAUGCAGCCAUGCCGCGUGUGUGAAGAAGGCCUUCGGGUUGUAAAGCACUUUCAGCGGGGAGGAAGGCGUUAAGGUUAAUAACCUUGGCGAUUGACGUUACCCGCAGAAGAAGCACCGGCUAACUCCGUGCCAGCAGCCGCGGUAAUACGGAGGGUGCAAGCGUUAAUCGGAAUUACUGGGCGUAAAGCGCACGCAGGCGGUCUGUCAAGUCGGAUGUGAAAUCCCCGGGCUCAACCUGGGAACUGCAUUCGAAACUGGCAGGAUAGAGUCUUGUAGAGGGGGGUAGAAUUCCAGGUGUAGCGGUGAAAUGCGUAGAGAUCUGGAGGAAUACCGGUGGCGAAGGCGGCCCCCUGGACAAAGACUGACGCUCAGGUGCGAAAGCGUGGGGAGCAAACAGGAUUAGAUACCCUGGUAGUCCACGCCGUAAACGAUGUCGAUUUGGAGGUUGUGCCCUUGAGGCGUGGCUUCCGGAGCUAACGCGUUAAAUCGACCGCCUGGGGAGUACGGCCGCAAGGUUAAAACUCAAAUGAAUUGACGGGGGCCCGCACAAGCGGUGGAGCAUGUGGUUUAAUUCGAUGCAACGCGAAGAACCUUACCUGGUCUUGACAUCCACAGAACUUUCCAGAGAUGGAUUGGUGCCUUCGGGAACUGUGAGACAGGUGCUGCAUGGCUGUCGUCAGCUCGUGUUGUGAAAUGUUGGGUUAAGUCCCGCAACGAGCGCAACCCUUAUCCUUUGUUGCCAGCGGUUAGGCCGGGAACUCAAAGGAGACUGCCAGUGAUAAACUGGAGGAAGGUGGGGAUGACGUCAAGUCAUCAUGGCCCUUACGACCAGGGCUACACACGUGCUACAAUGGCAUAUACAAAGAGAAGCGACCUCGCGAGAGCAAGCGGACCUCAUAAAGUAUGUCGUAGUCCGGAUUGGAGUCUGCAACUCGACUCCAUGAAGUCGGAAUCGCUAGUAAUCGUAGAUCAGAAUGCUACGGUGAAUACGUUCCCGGGCCUUGUACACACCGCCCGUCACACCAUGGGAGUGGGUUGCAAAAGAAGUAGGUAGCUUAACCUUCGGGAGGGCGCUUACCACUUUGUGAUUCAUGACUGGGGUG
rnacentral:rRNA from 1 species